UAAACACUGUUUAGCAAACUCCAAAUUCUGCAACCAGACAUAGAAGGCAUUUCAUACACUUAAGCAGAGCUGCUGCACAAUGAAUAUGUCCUGCUUCUGAGAAUCAAACCGUCCUUUUGCUAAGGAAGAAAAUAAGCUGGGAUGAAUACUGUCAUAUCCUCUUCUUGAAGAAAGCUCUCAAUACAAGGGACUGGCCACCAUGUUGGAAAGGGAGAAUAAGGAUGUAAAUGAAGGUGGAAAAGGAAGAAUCGUUACAGGUAGAUCUCUCCAUAAGAUCCACCUCGUCUGAGAGCAGAGAAUCUCCUCAUAUCUUUCUUCACUGAGGGAGCGAAAACAUUCAAUGAGAAUUCUAGAAUGCCUUACUUUUUCCUGCCUUCUAAGGAGCAUGAAUUGGAAGAAGUUCUCUAAUUUGACUGAGAUGAGGUCCUAAAUGCCAUCACAUCUAUCCUUAUAAUAAGAAGGCAGAGGGAGUUUUGAGAAAGAAGAGGAGGAGACCAUGGGACCAUGGAGGCAGAGAUUGGAGGCAUGAAGCCAUAAGCCAAGAAACAGCUGCAACCACCAGAAGCUGGAAGAAGCACAGAGUGAAUUCUCUCCUAGAGUCUUUGGAGGAUGAGGAGCCCUGAAAACAUCUUGAUUUCUGACUUCUCUAAAACUGUAAAAGAAUAAAUUUCUGUUGUUUCAGGCUA